UGAACUUUUAUGUAUAAAUUUUGUCUGAAAUUAAAUUACAUUAGGUUGAACGAAAUGGGUUUGUCGUUAAGUCAUUAACAAACUCAGUUAGAAUCGUAUGGUUUUGACUAUGUUCAUCUCGAUUUUAAUGCACUAAAAGAAGCUAAUUAGUGAGUAUAUAUUAGUGAUAACAAGUGAUAUCAAAUGGUGAGGUGUGGCCGGCGUUAUGUGGCUAUAGUGAUAUAAUGAUAAAUUAAAAGUUAAAAUUGUUAUCAAAAUAAAAGAAAAGAAUUCAAUUGAAAAAAAUUAUUGUUCUUUUUGUUGAGAAUUUGGGAUUGAAAUGAAUUUAUUGAGGCGGUGUUAACAAACAAGUUUAAUGGCAAUAGCAAUGAGGUAUGGGUUUGGUUAUGUUAAGAAAUGGUUGUAGAACUAUAGAACUUGGGCUUGUUUUAAUCUACUAUUUUAAUCUUUAUUUUGGUUUUGUUUUUGUUUAUAUUUUUUAUUUAUGCUCUCACCAUUUAAAUUUAAAUAUCAAAGCCAUUAAAUCUUGAAUAUUUUAAAGAGAACAAUAAAAGAAAAAAAGGUAAAGAAUCCAUGAACAGAACAAAACACAGGUCUAAGAAUUAGAAUUUAUUUUCAUAAAGAAUUUCAUAAAUGGUUCCUGCGAUAUUAAAUUUUUUAAAAAAUUUAUAACAGUGCUAAAAUAAAAGAAAAAAUUUCAAAAAGAUAAACAAUCAAUUUAGUUGAAAUGGAAUGAGAAGACAAAUCAAGAAAAAACUUCAGAAGCAAAUUUCGAUGAGAGAAAACUUAAGAGUGGAAAAAUUAAAAAUUGAUGCUAGUUAAUGUUUAAAGUCUGUAUGUUCGGUAAGUGAAAAUGAACUUUAGAAACUUAAGAUGUACUAUAAUAUGUAUGGAUGAAACCCAUGCGGGAUGCCUCUGCAAGUAGAGGGCACGGGGAUAGAUGCAAGAUCCUUCAAAAUAUUAUAUAUAUAUAUAUAUAUACAUGAUAUUAUAUAAUAUAUAAUAUAAAAAAAUGUAAUAAU
rnacentral:lncRNA from 1 species